rnacentral:rRNA from 1 species
AUUGAACGCUGGCGGCAGGCUUAACACAUGCAAGUCGAGCGGAGUGAUGGUGCUUGCACUAUCACUUAGCGGCGGACGGGUGAGUAAUGCUUAGGAAUCUGCCUAUUAGUGGGGGACAACAUCUCGAAAGGGAUGCUAAUACCGCAUACGUCCUACGGGAGAAAGCAGGGGAUCACUUGUGACCUUGCGCUAAUAGAUGAGCCUAAGUCGGAUUAGCUAGUUGGUGGGGUAAAGGCCUACCAAGGCGACGAUCUGUAGCGGGUCUGAGAGGAUGAUCCGCCACACUGGGACUGAGACACGGCCCAGACUCCUACGGGAGGCAGCAGUGGGGAAUAUUGGACAAUGGGGGGAACCCUGAUCCAGCCAUGCCGCGUGUGUGAAGAAGGCCUUAUGGUUGUAAAGCACUUUAAGCGAGGAGGAGGCUCUUCUGGUUAAUACCCAGGAUGAGUGGACGUUACUCGCAGAGUAAGCACCGGCUAACUCUGUGCCAGCAGCCGCCGUAACAC